UAGGGAAUAUUGGACAAUGGGCGAAAGCCUGAUCCAGCAACGCCGCGUGCGCGAUGAAGGCCUUCGGGUUGUAAAGCGCUUUUCGGGGGGAUGAGGAAGGACAGUACCCCCGGAAUAAGUCUCGGCUAACUACGUGCCAGCAGCCGCGGUAAAACGUAGGAGGCAAGUGUUAUCCGGAUUUACUGGACGUAAAGCGCGUGCAGGCGGUCGAGUAAGUCGGACGUGAAAGCUCCCGGCUCAACUGGGAGACGCCGUUCGAUACUACUCGACUUGAGGGCAGUAGAGGAAGGUGGAAUUCCGGGUGUAGCGGUGAAAUGCGUAGAUAUCCGGAGGAACACCUGUGGCGAAAGCGGCCUUCUGGACUGCUCCUGACGCUCAGACGCGAAAGCUAGGGGAGCGAACGGGAUUAGAAACCCCGGUAGUCCUAGCUGUAAACGAUGCGGACUUGGUGUUGGUGGCUUAAUCUCCACCAGUGCCGUAGCUAACGCGUUAAGUCCGCCGCCUGGGGACUACGACCGCAAGGUUA
rnacentral:rRNA from 1 species